rnacentral:rRNA from 1 species
GAUGAACGCUAGCUACAGGCUUAACACAUGCAAGUCGAGGGGCAGCAUGAACUUAGCUUGCUAAGUUUGAUGGCGACCGGCGCACGGGUGAGUAACACGUAUCCAACCUUCCGUUUACUCAGGGAUGGCCUUUCGAAAGAAAGAUUAAUACCUGAUAGUAUGGUGAGAUUGCAUGAUAGCACCAUUAAAGAUUUAUUGGUAAACGAUGGGGAUGCGUUCCAUUAGGUAGUAGGCGGGGUAACGGCCCACCUAGCCGACGAUGGAUAGGGGUUCUGAGAGGAAGGUCCCCCACAUUGGGAACUGAGACACGGUCCAAACUCCUACGGGAGGCAGCAGUGAGGAAUAUUGGUCAAUGGGGCGAGAGCCUGAACCAGCCAAGUAGCGUGAAGGAUGAAGGUCCUACGGAUUGUAAACUUCUUUUAUACGGGAAUAAAGUAUCCUACGUGUAGGAUUUUGUAUGUACCGUAUGAAUAAGCAUCGGCU